UCAGAUGGCCGGAUAGCUGCCGCCUUGGUUCGCCAGGGGGGAGGAAAGUCCGGGCUCCACGGAGACACGGUGCCGGGUAACGCCCGGCGGGGGCGACCCCAGGGAAAGUGCCACAGAAAGCAAACCGCCUAUGGGUGUUUCGACACGAUAUAGGUAAGGGUGAAAGGGUGCGGUAAGAGCGCACCGCGUGCCUGGCAACAGGGGCGGCACGGUAAACCCCACCGGGAGCAAAACCAAAUAGGGGCGGCAUUUGUGGCGUUUCCGACGCGUCGCCCGGGUCGGUUGCAUGAGUGUAUUGGCAACAAUAUGCCUAGAUGAAUAGCUAUCACCUGUCACAUUUCGGUGCGACGGCGUACAGAACCCGGCUUACAGGCCAUCUGACCUA
rnacentral:RNase_P_RNA from 1 species